UACGAAGGGUGCAAGCGUUAAUCGGAAUUACUGGGCGUAAAGGGUGCGUAGGCGGUUAGAUAAGUCUGUUGUGAAAUCCCCGGGCUCAACCUGGGAAUGGCAAUGGAUACUGGCUGGCUAGAGUGUGGCAGAGGAUGGUGGAAUUCCCGGUGUAGCGGUGAAAUGCGUAGAGAUCGGGAGGAACAUCAGUGGCGAAGGCGGCCAUCUGGGACAACACUGACGCUGAAGCACGAAAGCGUGGGGAGCAAACAGG
rnacentral:rRNA from 1 species